rnacentral:rRNA from 1 species
GUGGGGAAUAUUGGACAAUGGGGGGAACCCUGAUCCAGCCAUGCCGCGUGUGUGAAGAAGGCCUUUUGGUUGUAAAGCACUUUAAGCGAGGAGGAGGCUACCGAGAUUAAUACUCUUGGAUAGUGGACGUUACUCGCAGAAUAAGCACCGGCUAACUCUGUGCCAGCAGCCGCGGUAAUACAGAGGGUGCAAGCGUUAAUCGGAUUUACUGGGCGUAAAGCGCGCGUAGGUGGCCAAUUAAGUCAAAUGUGAAAUCCCCGAGCUUAACUUGGGAAUUGCAUUCGAUACUGGUUUGCUAGAGUAUGGGAGAGGAUGGUAGAAUUCCAGGUGUAGCGGUGAAAUGCGUAGAGAUCUGGAGGAAUACCGAUGGCGAAGGCAGCCAUCUGGCCUAAUACUGACACUGAGGUGCGAAAGCGUGGGGAGCAAACAGGAUUAGAUACCCGGGUAGUCC